rnacentral:rRNA from 1 species
UACGUAGGUGGCAAGCGUUAUCCGGAUUUAUUGGGUGUAAAGGGCGUGUAGGCGGGAGCGCAAGUCAGAUGUGAAAACUCAGGGCUCAACCCUGAGCCUGCAUUUGAAACUGUGUUUCUUGAGUGCUGGAGAGGCAAUCGGAAUUCCGUGUGUAGCGGUGAAAUGCGUAGAUAUUAGGAGGAACACCAGUGGCGAAGGCGGUCUGCUGGACAGCAACUGACGCUGAGGCGCGAAAGCGUGGGGGGCAAACAGG